CUAAUACGGGGCGCUAAUGACGGUACCUGAAGAAGAAGCACCGGCUAACUACGUGCCAGCAGCCGCGGUAAUACGUAGGGUGCGAGCGUUAAUCGGAAUUACUGGGCGUAAAGCGUGCGCAGGCGGUUCCAUAAGACAGAUGUGAAAUCCCCGGGCUUAACCUGGGAACUGCGUUUGUGACUGUGGGACUGGAGUGUGGCAGAGGGGGGUGGAAUUCCACGUGUAGCAGUGAAAUGCGUAGAGAUGUGGAGGAACACCGAUGGCGAAGGCAGCCCCCUGGGUCAACACUGACGCUCAUGCACGAAAGCGUGGGGAGCAAACAGGAUUAGAUACCCUGGUAGUCCACGCCCUAAACGAUGCGAACUAGGUGUUGGGGAAGGAGACUUUCUUAGUACCGCAGCUAACGCGUGAAGUUCGCCGCCUGGGGAGUACGGUCGCAAGAUUAAAACUCAAAGGAAUUGACGGGGG
rnacentral:rRNA from 1 species